GGGGGCGAUGUGGUUUCGACGGGGGUGGGAAAUCGAAGUGGCAUGCCGGGGUACUGUUGUCCCGUUAAACAAACAGACUGCAAACUUAAACGCAGACAAUUUCGAAUACCAACUGGCUGCCUAAUCGCAGCUAGCGUUUUACCGGUUUUCUCCCACGGGAUCGGAUAAAACGUCAUUUAGUGGGAUGGGCUGAUUCCUCUGCCGGAGGGGAUGAGGCUGAGAUCCAAACCGGCUGGCUCUGCGAGACCCUGCCGUUGGGGGCUCAAAGAGUGACAUCAAAUCAUCGGCUAAGCAUGUAGUCGCGGAGAUGGAAGACUCUCGGACGGGGGUUCGAUUCCCCCCGCCUCCACCA
rnacentral:tmRNA from 1 species